rnacentral:pre_miRNA from 1 species
AGCUGCCACAAACCCGUAGAUCCGAACUUGUGGUGACUGGCUUCACAAGCUCGUGUCUAUAGGUAUGUGUCUUC